rnacentral:rRNA from 1 species
AUGCAUGCAUGCUUCUCCUCACAGGUUUCCCUUGGUUCAGUACUUAAUUUUUUUGGUGUAUACUUUCUCCUCAGCAGUGAAGUAUAUGUACGACAAGACAGAAAGAAACAUAUACUGUUGAUCGAUACUGAAACACACCAUACAGAAAGGCCCUCUCUUCUAUACCCCUUUGCGAAAAAUAGUAUACUAUCAUUUGAAAAGAAAACACACCAUACACUCCUUUGUGACAAUGAGUAUACACUGAUCGUUAUUGCCAGUAUCAUAGGCAUAUACUCUGAGAAUAGUUGUAUAUAUCCCAUUUGA